GAUGAACGCUAGCUACAGGCUUAACACAUGCAAGUCGAGGGGCAUCAGGAAGAAAGCUUGCUUUCUUUGCUGGCGACCGGCGCACGGGUGAGUAACACGUAUCCAACCUGCCGAUAACUCGGGGAUAGCCUUUCGAAAGAAAGAUUAAUACCCGAUAGUAUAAUUAGACCGCAUGGUCUUGUUAUUAAAGAAUUUCGGUUAUCGAUGGGGAUGCGUUCCAUUAGGCAGUUGGUGAGGUAACGGCUCACCAAACCUUCGAUGGAUAGGGGUUCUGAGAGGAAGGUCCCCCACAUUGGAACUGAGACACGGUCCAAACUCCUACGGGAGGCAGCAGUGAGGAAUAUUGGUCAAUGGGCGAGAGCCUGAACCAGCCAAGUAGCGUGAAGGAUGACUGCCCUAUGGGUUGUAAACUUCUUUUAUAAAGGAAUAAAGUCGGGUAUGCAUACCCGUUUGCAUGUACUUUAUGAAUAAGGAUCGGCUAACUCCGUGCCAGCAGCCGCGGUAAUACGGAGGAUCCGAGCGUUAUCCGGAUUUAUUGGGUUUAAAGGGAGCGUAGGUGGACUGGUAAGUCAGUUGUGAAAGUUUGCGGCUCAACCGUAAAAUUGCAGUUGAUACUGUCAGUCUUGAGUACAGUAGAGGUGGGCGGAAUUCGUGGUGUAGCGGUGAAAUGCUUAGAUAUCACGAAGAACUCCGAUUGCGAAGGCAGCUCACUGGACUGCAACUGACACUGAUGCUCGAAAGUGUGGGUAUCAAACAGG
rnacentral:rRNA from 1 species